ACGGGGGGGGCAAGCGUUGUCCGGAAUUAUUGGGCGUAAAGGGCGCGUAGGUGGGACAGCAAGUCUGAGGUGCAAUCUUGCGGCUUAACUGCAAGCUUGCCUUGGAUACUACUGUUCUUGAGUUCGGAAGAGGGUAGUGGAAUUCCUGGUGUAGCGGUGAAAUGCGUAGAUAUCAGGAAGAACACCGGUGGCGAAGGCGGCUACCUGGUCCGAUACUGACACUGAGGCGCGAAAGUGCGGGGAGCAAACAG
rnacentral:rRNA from 1 species